GGCUCUUUUAAGGGCC
rnacentral:misc_RNA from 1 species